rnacentral:lncRNA from 1 species
AUCCACCAUGAAUUCAAAUCAUAUCAUCACAGUGUUUGCGAUUAUCUUCAAGGAAUUUGAAUUUCACCUGUUCUUUCGAGUACCCAAAUUUGGAGAGAUAAUCGAUCGCGUUCAGAACUGCACGCUUAUAAGCAACACUCGCAUCCAGGUAAUGUUGUCUUCCACUUUCAUCAACGCUUAUUCCUUCAAAUACAAGCCAUUCUGAGAAUCUAGGCUCCAUUGGUCCGAUCUCGAAAAUAGGGUUUACAUGAAGAGGAGUAGGUCCCAUUGGAGUUAGGUAUUCUUUCAUCCCCCCUCGUAUUAUCUCACACCUAAUAACCAGUUAAAAUUAGAACAAAGUUUAUCAAUGGCGGUUUAUGAGAUUUGAGAUAGAUGAUUGUACUUGAGCUCAAGGAAUCCACUCAUCUCAAUCGCCCCACAAAACGAAACUUCACCAUCGCCUUGUGAGAAGUGCAUAUCACCUGUACUAAAGUUAGCACCUUCAACAAACACUGGAAGGUAAAUUUUUGAACCUCUACUAAGAUUCUUAAUGUCACAGUUUCCUCCAUUUUCUCUUCCUGGAAUCGUUCUUGCAGCUUCAUUGGCAAUCUUCUCCCAUUCUUGAGUUCCUUCUGGAAUCUAUACAGGUCUCAAUUAGUAAACAUUUUCUCUACUCAUAGUAGUGAUUACAUUACAUUACACUAUUCCAGUACCUUGCCAAGAAGACAGCCUUUUGUUAAUGGGAGAUUCGCCAAUGGCCUUGAAUGUAAAACUUCACAUAACUUUAAUGAUUUUAGACCAUUUUCUUCAAGCUCUCUCUCCCUUUCGUUCCAUAUAUUAAGAAGUUCCAUUGAAGGCGCAGUUCCAAUUAUUCCAGGGUGUGUUAUACCCGGAAAACGUACACCAGGUAUAUGAGGAGAGUAAGCAUAUAUUCCUUCAAAAUACCAAAUUGCUUUCGUGGCACAAGGGAAAUGAUCAGUGAGAAACCCGCCACCGUUUUCUCUGUCAAAAAUCGCCGUAAACCCCCAUUCAUCGCCGGGAAGAGGACCUAAAUUGCAUAUCUCAACCACAAGAAGAUCCCCUGGUUUAGCCGCUUCUCCUUCCUCAUCAACAACCCUAAUCGGCCCACUCAGAUAAUGCACCUGAAAAUCGAUUUUAUUUUAUCAAAUCAUAUUUACAUACAGAAUCUAUGAAACUAAUAAAUUAUUAUGAUUCAUACAGUUCCCGAGAGUUGACUUAUCUUAUAAAUUAAUUCCAUACAAAUUCUCUACACUUACAGUCGAAAGGUCUAAGUGUUUAACAUCACUAGCGGAAUUGUCAUCUUUUAUAGCACCUGCGGUCCAGUCCACCAUCUCCACCCUGAAAACUUCUCCGGUCUUAACGGCGGCAACCGGUGGUAUCUCAGGGUGCCAACGAUUAUGUAAUGGUAGCUUUUGCUCCCAUGGCUUCUUUUUUAGGUCAAUAGGUACCACUAGUUUUGGUGUUCUAGGAGCCAUAGAUGAAUUUUUUGUGAAUUGUGACUAUGUGUAAGUAAGAAACUAAAGAACUAAGAAGAUAUGAUAAUGAUAAUAUGAUAAUAUGAUAAUCGUUUUCAGGGAGACGUUGACUCCAUUUUGGGCUUAAUUGUUAAUUGGGUUAUUGGGCCUAAUUGUGAUUGGUUGAAAUUGAACGGAUUUAAAAGCAUGAUGACUCACAACAGACUGAUCGGAGUAUUUGAUGUCUUCGGCUGUGUAUUCUUUGGUG